GAUGAACGCUGGCGGCGUGCCUAAUACAUGCAAGUCGAGCGAACAGACGAGGAGCUUGCUCCUCUGACGUUAGCGGCGGACGGGUGAGUAACACGUGGAUAACCUACCUAUAAGACUGGGAUAACUUCGGGAAACCGGAGCUAAUACCGGAUAAUAUAUUGAACCGCAUGGUUCAAUAGUGAAAGACGGUUUUGCUGUCACUUAUAGAUGGAUCCGAGCCGCAGUAGCUAGUUGGUAAGGUAACGGCUUACCAAGGCAACGAUGCGUAGCCGACCUGAGAGGGUGAUCGGCCACACGGGAACUGAGACACGGUCCAGACUCCUACGGGAGGCAGCAGUAGGGAAUCUUCCGCAAUGGGCGAAAGCCUGACGGAGCAACGCCGCGUGAGUGAUGAAGGUCUUCGGAUCGUAAAACUCUGUUAUUAGGGAAGAACAAAUGUGUAAGUAACUAUGCACGUCUUGACGGUACCUAAUCAGAAAGCCACGGCUAACUACGUG
rnacentral:rRNA from 1 species